CAAACACAAACAGAGCACCUCCUGCUUCCACAGGCUCCAGUCAUUCACAGCUCAAAAGCACCAUAGAGCAUGAGAUGUAGCAGACCCAGCGUCUACAAAGCUGAUCUCCCAUCCUAAAAGUCAGCUGCACAGCAAGGAAACCAAGAGGGCCCAGUUAACCCAGGUGCAUGGGGAGCAUGACAAAGCACCGUGGGCUCCUGUGGGUCUCUGCUGUCACUCCUCUCGGGCAAGGGUGAGAAGAAGGUGA
rnacentral:lncRNA from 1 species